UUAACUAUUUGCUUGUACUUCAGGCUGCACGGUUGGUCAGGGUUUGGGUUCCGGCCGGAGGGCCCCCUAAAGAGGGGGCCCGCCUGCGCCGAAUGCGGGCGGGAAGCGAAGGGUGGGGUUGGGCGCCAGAGCGCCCAGUGACCCAGUAAUGAUCCUUCCGCAGGUUCACCUACGGAAA
rnacentral:misc_RNA from 1 species